UGUCCCCUGGCAAUGGGCAAAGAGACACCUUGUUGGUGGUGUUGUUCUUAUGUCAGUCAGGGGCAGAGCAGACGGCAGUCCUCUGUCUAUCCUAGCUUGAUGCCUGACUUGGUAGACAGAGCUGUUUUUUUGCCUAGGACUCAUAA
rnacentral:snoRNA from 1 species